rnacentral:rRNA from 1 species
UACGGAGGACGCGAGCGUUAUCCGGAUUUAUUGGGUUUAAAGGGUGCGUAGGCGGAUCGUUAAGUCAGUGGUCAAAUUGAGGGGCUCAACCCCUUCCCGCCAUUGAAACUGGCGCUCUUGAGUGGAAGAGAAGUAUGCGGAAUGCGUGGUGUAGCGGUGAAAUGCAUAGAUAUCACGCAGAACCCCGAUUGCGAAGGCAGCAUGCCGGCUUCCGACUGACGCUGAAGCACGAAAGCGUGGGGAUCGAACAGG